CUGCUACUUGCAUGGGAGAGAUCACUUUGUCAACAAGGUGACUCGUUCAAGGAGCUGACGCAAUGGCAGUCGUUGCAAGUAUCAGGAGAGCUGUAUCGACCCCCCUGAACCAGUGUACCUCCUCUGGAGAAAAGAACCAAAAGCAUGAAGUCGACAAGGUGACAUUUUUGAAUGCCUAAAUCCUGGUUCAAUCCGUUCCUCAUCCGCAUGAACUAUGUGCGUCACGACAGUUUCGGCGACGAACAGGAUGGAUUGAAGGGGAAACAAAUGAAGGUCGAUACACGCAUUGGUUAUGCUCCCCUGGAGCUAUGCGAUUGAAAACUUUCCGGACCGUUUGAGCGUUGACAGGCACAGUGAUGAACAAAAGAGACAUUGGCAACUCGCUCUUGCCCUCUGGCCCCCACAGCUUCCGGUUGACUGAGGAAAACCGACGCCUACCGGUUGAUACUACUUUUCGACCAUCAGCAUUGGAAGGCCAGCGAAGAACUUCCACCGAAUCACA